rnacentral:rRNA from 1 species
GUACGGUCGCAAGACUAAAACUCAAAGGAAUUGACGGGGGCCCGCACAAGCAGCGGAGCGUGUUGCUUAAUUCGAUGCUACGCGAAGAACCUUACCUGGGCUUGACAUGUUUGGAAAAGCAACAGAGAUGUUGUGUCCGAAAGGGCCAAUCACAGGUGGUGCAUGGCCGUCGUCAGCUCGUGUCGUGAGAUGUUGGGUUAAGUCCCGCAACGAGCGCAACCCUUGUUCCAUGUUGCCAGCAGGUAAAGCUGGGGACUCAUGGAAGACCGCCGGGGUCAACUCGGAGGAAGGUGGGGAUGACGUCAAGUCCUCAUGCCCCUUAUGUCCAGGGCUGCAAACACGCUACAAUGGCCGGUACAAAGAGAUGCUAGAACGCGAGUUCAUGCCAAUCUCAUAAAGCCGGUCUCAGUUCGGAUUGAAGUCUGCAACUCGACUUCAUGAAGCUGGAGUUGCUAGUAAUCCCGGAUCAGCACGCCGGGGUGAAUACGUUCCCGGGCCUUGUACACACCGCCCAUCACACCACGAAAGUCGGCAACACCCGAAGCCGGUGGCCUAACCGUAAGGAAGGAACCGUCGAAGGUGGGGUCGGUGAUUGGGGUG